CCUUUUGGGGUUGAACUAGCAUGCGAGUUGUGCGUCUCCUAGCCACGUUGGAGACGCGGCGUACGGCUCAGUAACACGUAGUUAAUCUGCCCUUGGGACGAGAAUACCCCUGGGAAACUGGGGCUAAUUCUCGAUAGGCGCAGUGGCCUGGAAUGGUACUGCACCUAAAGGGCUUCAGGAACAUGCUCCUGAAGUCGCCCAAGGAUGAGACUGCGGCCGAUCAGGUUGUUGGUGGGGUAACGGCCUACCAAGCCUAUAACCGGUACGGGCCCUGAGAGGGGGAGCCCGGAGAUGGGCACUGAGACAAGGGCCCAGGCCCUAUGGGGCGCAGCAGGCGCGAAACCUCUGCAAUAGGCGAAAGCUUGACAGGGUUACUCUGAGUGAUUUCCGUUAAGGAGAUCUUUUGGCACCUCUAAAAAUGGUGCAGAAUAGGGGGUGGGCAAGUCUGGUGUCAGCCGCCGCGGUAAUACCAGCACCCCGAGUGGUCGGGACGUUUAUUGGGCCUAAAGCAUCCGUAGCCGGUUCUACAAGUCUUCCGUUAAAUCCACCUGCUUAACAGAUGGGCUGCGGAAGAUACUAUAGAGCUAGGAGGCGGGAGAGGCAAGCGGUACUCGAUGGGUAGGGGUAAAAUCCGUUGAUCCAUUGAAGACCACCAGUGGCGAAGGCGGCUUGCCAGAACGCGCUCGACGGUGAGGGAUGAAAGCUGGGGGAGCAAACCGGAUUAGAUACCCGGGUAGUCCCAGCUGUAAACGAUGCAGACUCGGUGAUGAAUUGGCUUAUUGCUAAUUCAGUGCCGCAGGGAAGCCGUUAAGUUUGCCGCCUGGGGAGUACGGUCGCAAGACUGAAACUUAAAGGAAUUGGCGGGGGAGCACCACAAGGGGUGAAGCCUGCGGUUCAAUUGGAGUCAACGCCGGA
rnacentral:rRNA from 1 species